UAUAUAUCAUGACCAUGUCACGACGUCAAAGUAAUUUAUUGAAUUAUUAACAAUUUAUUUCUUGUUACAUAAAUUAUUUUACUAUGUCGAAUUACUUUCGUAUUUCUGACACGGAUCCGCCCGAAUUUUUAAAAAAGAAACCAAAAUGGCUGAUAUGCCUAAUCUGCACGGUCACCAUCAUAGUAAUGAUAGUGUCAGCAAUCUCUGUUGGAGUCUUCAUUGGCUAUGCUUACUGCUAUGUGGAACAUCAGACCGGAUUAACAGAGAACAUUACACAGCCGAACGAAAUUGAAAUAAUACAGAACUUACAAAAGGAUCCAGAAGCUUCAAAAAGAACAAUAAACGAUGCAAUCAAAAGCUUUCUAUCUUCGAGGAUAAAAAAAAUUAGCAAUUUCCUAUGGAGUGAUGGCAAUAAGCCGAUCAAGAUUAAACUUUGAUCUUUGUUC